ensembl:lncRNA
AUAAAGUCUCGUUAAAGCUAUUCCUUUGGAUUCGACCCCUCUUUCCAAGAAGUACAUUGCAAUUUGGUGAAGCCCUGACGUGAUUGGAAAGUUCCCGGACCGAGACUUGCGACCGCGGGGCCGUCGGGAGCAGUACAAGCUACUUACAGGCGCCACAAGAAAGUUGUAUUCCCAGAUCACAGACCAGAAGCCGUCCGAUCCAGAGGAUCCUUCACCAACGUCGGUGACACCUGGCGAGUGGAUCUGGGUGAAAAAACACCAUCGAAAGACCCUAGAAGACCGGUGGGAGGGGCCAUACAAGGUACUCUUGGCCACACCCUUUUCUGUUUCUGUAGAGGACCGACGGGGCCCAGUGGCACCACCUGAGCCGGUGCCGCAAAGCAGAUACUCCUGGCAGAUCGUGGACUGAGACCCUGACCGACCUAGCUGCACUCCAAGCCAAGGACAAACACUCCUCAUCCCAAGACGAUGGGCCACAGCGUGCCCUUGGGAAAGUACCUGGUAGGAUUCCUUCUGGCAGUCCUGUUCCAAGAAGGAGCGGGAGACAACAUCGCCAGCACCAGAUGGGUCCGUGGCCAGAGCAUUGGCUGGACUGCAAUCCCUCAAGUUGGAGUUGGCCGAGAACUCCGGUAUUGGUGACCCAAUAGCUGGAUGGACGGAGAACCUGUUUGGUAGGUGGAGAGGUAUGAUCCAGUCAGUACUCAUCGCGGGAAUAAUGGCAGUAGCCGUGUUAACUGUUAUCAGCUGCUGUUGUAUUCCCUGCGCACGAGGACUACUGAAUCGGCUGAUCACCACAGCAGUGGGCGCUACACAAGUGCCAGGCGACAUUCAUGCUUACGUAGGAAUCAGAUAUAAUCAGUUGAACUUAAAUGACAUACCACCUGAGGAACCCGAACCUAUCCAGUUACAAUAUAUAGAAUAAAAUGCCACCAUUUGUAGCACCUGUGUCUAAGAUAAUCAAUAUCCUGGAUUUACUUGAAUAAUUAAUUAUUGAACCACCAAGACGAGUUGUGUUUGUUAUAAUAUAGUAUUGUUUGGUUGCGAGUACAACUCGUUAUUUCUGAAUCGCUGCAUUGAUAAUGGUACUGUUGAUCUUCCUUGAGACGAUUGUUUUACAGGCCACCUGUUGCAGACACGACGACGGAGAACUUGUGAGGAGGCUCCCAUGGUGUAGGAGUAACCUCUCUGAGAUGAGCCCUUGACAAGGAGGGACGAGUCUUGGGUUCAUGAAUUACAGACCCGACGGCGACAGAAAAAACAAUGAACUCCCCAAAUCCAUGCCCAAACCACCCACAUGAACCGGCACACCAAUACACGAAGAUCACUUGAACUCCCCAAAUCCAUGCCCAAACCACCCACAGGAACCGGCACACCAAUACACGAAGAUCACUUGAACUCCCCAAAUCCAUGCCCAAACCACCCACAUGAACCGGCGCACCAAUACACGAAGAUCACCUGAACCCCCAAAUCCAUGCCCAAACCACCCACAUGAACCGGCGCACCAAUACAAGAAGAUCACCUGAACCCCCCAAAUCCAUUUUAGUUUAUCAAUCAUUUUGAAAUUUUAAAAUUGUGUUAUGACCAUCAAUUUUUACGUUACUUUUGCACCUGUUGAAUAUUUUAUGACCUUGUAGCACAUGACCAAAAGUAUUAGCUCAGGAUUUCUAUUGAUAGUUUUGUUUGUGUGCUGUUUGGCCAUGUGAUUGUAUGAUAACAAGAUUCAUGUUCAUUGUUGUAUUGUUAAAUAAUGACCUGUAUUUUCAACAAGACCCACAACGU